rnacentral:lncRNA from 9 species
AUUUCAACUCGCUUAUACUUCCAAAUAACAAAAUCGUCGCGCUUGCUCUUUGUCUGAAACUAAGAACUAUCAUGAGAGUCCCGCCCUGGUGCAUCGCUUCUCUCUCUGCUGGGGUCCCUCCGGGCCUGCCAGGGUCCCUGGGAAAGUACCAGUGGAAGGAGAUGAACUGGCGCCCCGGAAAAGGUUGCUCUCUUUGGAAUUUAGAUUUCUAUGAAAAGAGGCUUCACCAGGAACCGACCGUGAGGGCACCUUUCUUUUGAACCUGAUCUGUUGCAGAAAAGUCUCCCAGAUUCAAGCCAACUUUGAAUGAAGAGAAAUCCAGUUUCCUAGGGAAAGACCACUGGCACAUUGCCAAAAACUUUAAAAUAUGUUUAAAAUUUUUUAAUUUAUUCUUAUUCCUAGCCUUUCCUAAAGGGACCGGAGCCCAUUUACCAAAGUGAUUGUGCACUGGGGGCAAGUAAAUGGAUUUUUCAGGGAUUACCAGAGAAAUGACUCUGACCUGGUUUUAAUUCCUAGAGAUACAAAACAGCACUGCUGUCCUCCAGGCAAAGUAGGUAAUCUUGAAGGUCAGAAAGCCAAUGAAGUUUUGCUUCUGGUCCCUUUCACUGUGGGCACAGAAGGUCCCUGAGCCCAUCCUGUGGUUACCUCUCCAAUUUCAGACAAAAUUUCUAUAUUUUUUCUAUGACUAAUGGAAUGAAGGCUAUUAUGGCCUAAAAGACCAAUCAGAACAAGUCACCAGAAAUUCUUCUAUGAAAUAAUUAAACGUAACACAAUCAGUCCCAACAUCAAGAACUUGAAAGAGGUAGGAGGGCAGAGAGUCUCUUCAACUUGCUCAUUCACCUGCAGAAGAUAAGUGGGCUAUAGAAAAUGAGUUAUUGUUAACCCUGUCAAGUGAUUAUUUCAAUUGCAUCUGCUAUUUCGGGUGUCAUUUCAUUGAUGGAGAAAAUUAAUGAACUGGCAACUGGUAAGAAGAUACUGACAUGGUGUUCCAGACACUCGGGGCAGCAUGGAAGGAACUCAAGGUGAAGCUGGGAAAAGGAAACACAAAUAUGCAAAGGAGACUUUCAUUACAUCAACAGAAUGGUGUUGGAUGCUUGAGAUCCCAAGGGCUGCCAGAGCUCCCAGUACCAGAAAGCAAAACUCUUUUCCUCUUUUCCAAGGUGUGUCUCCUGCACCUUCUAUUCAAAAAAUUUCAAUGCCAACUGGCACAAGAAAAUAACUAUUUAAAAGGCCCAUGUCCCUUUUCAAAAAGCAGUCUAAUAGGGGGAAUUGGGGGUUGAGAACUGUAUUAGGGGGAAAAAAACUUUUUCAUUGUGUGUGUCUUUACUACUCACACAGAACACUUUACUUCUGACAUUUCUGGCCACCAAAUCUGUGGCAGUUUCCCCCCACCAACUGCACUAGCUGAAUGUCCUAGAGUUGAAAACAAUUGUGACACUAGCUCUCUGGAGAUAGCAUCAGAUUGCACAGGUUACUAGGACUCAGUCCCUUAAGACUGCUCCCAUUUCAGAUACCAGUGGAAGUUAGUAGGUCCCCAUCGUUACACACAUACAUAAACAGAAGACAUAGUUCAGUAGAUUGUUGGAAACUAAAAGUUAAAUAAAUAUGCUACAUUUGUAAAUACACUCACAAAGAGACAUAGAAUGCCUUUUAUAGAUUAACAAGUAGACUCUAUAGAGCUGAGAAAACAAGUAAUAAACUUGAAGGUAGGCCUAGAAAUUACCCAAGAUGAAACACCAAGAAAAAAACAGACAAAAAGAGCUCAAAGAGUUAUUGAUUAAUAUAUGUGUAGGCAGAAUCCCAAAGGGAGAGAGAGAGGGAGAGAGAGGAGAAAAGGACAGAAAGAAAUAUUUGAAGAGUUAAUGGCUGAGUAUUUUCCCAAGAUAAUGAAAUACAAGUAUCACCCACUUUUCAAAAUCCACGUUGCUGCCACUUCAUUUUUAGGAAAGACCUACGUUAGUACCUGUUUUUGCAAAGGGAAAGAAAUUGAAAGAGGAUUUUUGCUUUUAUGAAGAUGAAAAGUGAAAAUAGCUCUCAACAAUUGUUUUUAAGGGAGCCGUUAGAGAG